CAUUCGAUGUGCACGGCCGAACCCCCUGGCGGGAUUGAUUCGCCGGCGGGCAAACUGUCAGUGAGUGACAAUUCGCCGAAACGUCAUAAAUCUGUCAAUGCAAUCUGACACAGCAUAUCCAUUGUUUAUUUAUGUUUACGGUAUGCUGUGCAGUGGAAAACAUAUAGUGAAGUGAAAAGUAAUAAAAUUAGCCUUUUCAGUGAUAUUCUUUUCGGUGAAUGACUUCAUUCAACCAGGGUUGUUGUGCUAUUUGGCAACAAUCUUUCCGAUGAAAGAUUGGCCAAUAGCAAACCCAUAACGGUCCCGGGACACCGUGAUAGUCAUCUUGACUCUGCAAGAUGAAAUCAGAUUUGGCCAAUCAUCCAAGUUGGGCGAUCCCCUUCCAACAACUCCAUAGGUGGAGAAAGAUGAGGGCAAUUUAAUUCACCCCUCGCCUCCUUCUCCGAUCCUACCAGUGCUGGUAUGGAUCCCCGUAAUAAAUCAGAUGUUUAUCCUUUCGGCGGUGAUUGCACCAAGUGACUGGGGGCAAAUAAUAAUCCCACACAGCACCGGAACUGGGCAAUCUGCCAUAGGUAAGGAACUGGAAAAUAAUGAGAAAUAAAAUUGUC